rnacentral:rRNA from 1 species
UGGGGAAUAUUGGACAAUGGGCGAAAGCCUGAUCCAGCCAUGCCGCGUGUGUGAAGAAUGUCUUCGGAUUGUAAAGCACUUUAAGUUGGGAGGAAGGGCAGUAAGCGAAUACCUUGCUGUUUUGACGUUACCGACAGAAUAAGCACCGGCUAACUCUGUGCCAGCAGCCGCGGUAAUACAGAGGGUGCAAGCGUUAAUCGGAAUUACUGGGCGUAAAGCGCGCGUAGGUGGUUCGUUAAGUUGAAUGUGAAAGCCCCGGGCUCAACCUGGGAACUGCAUCCAAAACUGGCGAGCUAGAGUAGGGCAGAGGGUGGUGGAAUUUCCUGUGUAGCGGUGAAAUGCGUAGAUAUAGGAAGGAACACCAGUGGAGAAGGCGACCACCUGGGCUCAUACUGACACUGAGGUGCGAAAGCGUGGGGAGCAAACAGG